GACGAACGCUGGCGGCGUGCUUAACACAUGCAAGUCGAGCGGUAAGGCCCUUUCGGGGGUACACGAGCGGCGAACGGGUGAGUAACACGUGGGUGACCUGCCCUCAGCUCUGGGAUAAGCCUGGGAAACCGGGUCUAAUACUGGAUAUGACUCCAUGACGCAUGUUGUGGGGUGGAAAGCCUUGUGCGGCUGAGGAUGGGCCCGCGGCCUAUCAGCUUUGUUGGUGGGGUNAGGCCUACCAAGGCGACGACGGGUAGCCGGCCUGAGAGGGCGACCGGCCACACGUGGGACUGAGACACGGCCCAGACUCCUACGGGAGGCAGCAGUGGGGAAUCUUGCGCAAUGGGCGAAAGCCUGACGC
rnacentral:rRNA from 1 species